GCAAAAGAGCCACCAGAGCACCUGCUUUUCAGUUGGCAGCACAGAGAGUGCCCGGAUCCUGCUCGGAGGUCUGUGAGGACUGGCCCCAGAAAGGUUCCUUCACAUGCACCGCUAUGAAAACAAAGAGGAACAUCAGAAAAGACACCAGGUGAUUUGAGCUCUGCUGAAGGAAAGAGUUCUGCUAGCAACCCUGUGGAGGAGCUGAGGUAUGUCCUGAAGGAGGAGGCAAAAUUUUUCAUUUUCAAGUCAUGCCAUAAGAAUUUUUUUUCCCCCCCUCUCGCCUCUGAGGAGUUUGAAGGAGGGGGACCUGAACAAGUGCUUUAGAGGGUAAGGACCAGGAAAAGAGGUACCUGUUUUAUGGAAACCUAAUGCCAUUGAGGGAUGCUGUGACGAACACUGAGCCUCCACCUCAUCACCUUUUGGUCCUCACUGGCUUGCUGUGCAUCUCCAAGGUGUAAAUUUGGUCUAUUUCAAAGCAGGAAGCAGAUCUCAAGAAACAAGAUCUACUUUCAAGAUGCCUUCACUUUCCUGUCAAUCAUCUGUGGGGUCAUUUUUGCAGCUACAGAAUGAAUUAAUCUUGAUGCUGAAGGCAAAAGGCCCUUUCCUUGCUGUGUUUUAAUGACUUCCAUCAAUUUCACGCGAGCUGGAAGGGAGGUGGAGGAGAAAAGGAAAGCACAACAUAAGAGCUAACACUUAGGUCUUCAGCCUCACCCAGCAGGCAGCUGAAGGUCUGUGGAAGUCUUCCUCUGCACUGUAGGUAAGCACUGACGCCUCAAAUUUAGUUGAGUAUUUGCUUGUAUGUAACAGACUGAGUAACGCACAGCUGAUGAGACUGCAACACUGAGGCCUCAUUUAAUCCCAGAAGACAGGCAGACACACACACUGAUUAGACAAGCAACUACAACAAUGUAACUGAAAAACAGCUAAAAGCUGUAAUCACAUGGGGAGGGAGUCAUACUUUAAACUACAUCUUUAGUAAGGUGUAGAGCUGGACCUUAAAAAUGUAGGCUGACAAAA